CUUCUAAAUGGUAAAUGUAAACUUUGCUGUGGCAAAGACUUUGGUUUAACAUGUACACACUCGCACCCCCCUGCUGCCCUAUGGAGUUUUCUUUUUAAAAUGCCUUUAUGCUGUCAGAAUAAUUUCUUGACUUAGAAUCAGAGAAUCCUAGACUUUUCUCCCCUCUAAAAUUAACUACAUGUCUGAAUUUUUCUCCCUCUCUUCUGAAUCCUCAGAAAGCAAGCCCUCUUCUCUACACACCCCAAUUAGAAGAUGCAUCUCUUUCUCUUUAGUGACCAUAAAACUAGACACACAGUCAGCCUUCUGCAUCUGUGGAUUCAACCAACCAUGGAUUAAAAAUAUUUGAGGAAAAAAAAAGUACCUCUUUACUGAAUAUGUAUAUACUGUUUUCCUUGUCAUGAUUUCCUAAACAAUACAGUAUAAUGGUGAUUUAUAUAAUGUUUACAUAAUAUUAGGUGUCAUAAGUAAUUUAGAGAUGAUUUAACUUAUAUGGGAGCGUAUGUGUAGGUUGUAUGCAAAUACUACAUGAUAUUUUAUCAGGGACUUGAGUGUCUGUGGAUUUUGGCAUCCUCGGGGGGUGCUUGGAACCAGUCCCCCUGGAUACCUGAGGAGUGACUGUACUGUGUGAUAGCAGCAGUAUGGGAUGGAAAGAUGAGAUCCUAGUGGUGCAGGUACAUUAGUUGGACAUUUGGUGUAACUCACCAAAAGUGAAAAAAACAGGGAAACAAUAUUUGUGGUGAAUUAAGAAAUUGAGAAGCACCGAAUUGAAUUGAGAGGUGGUUUUGACUUCCUGAAAUCUCCCCACACCAUUUUAUAACUCCUCAGUUUUUCCAUUUAGCUUUACCUUCCUCUGUGACAGAGAUUCAUUCAUUUUCUUUCCUUACUAUGCUUUAAGCAACUCUUACACUUCUGUAUAGAAAAGGUGUUUCAUUUCCUUUUUUCAUUUUGAUCAACAUAUCUAUAUAGCUACCCUCAGGAUUUUGCAGUCAUAAAUGUGGGCAUUUGGGAGGGUAACAUGAGAAGAGCAUUUAAUUAAAAAUAGCUAUAUUGUGUUUCUUUAUUUUAGAGUACUAUUAAUCCCGUAGAUGCAAUAUAUCAACCUAGUCCUUUGGAACCUGUGAUCAGCACAAUGCCUUCCCAGACUGUGUUACCUCCAGAACCUGUUCAGUUGUGUAAGUCAGAGCAGCGUCCAUCUUCCCUACCAGUUGGACCUGUGUUGGCUACCUUGGGACAUCAUCAGACUCCUACACCAAAUAGUACAGGCAGUGGCCAUUCACCACCGAGUAGCAGUCUCACUUCUCCAAGCCACGUGAACUUGUCUCCAAAUACAGUCCCAGAGUUCUCUUACUCCAGCAGUGAAGAUGAAUUUUAUGAUGCUGAUGAAUUCCAUCAAAGUGGCUCAUCCCCAAAGCGCUUAAUAGAUUCUUCUGGAUCUGCCUCAGUCCUGACACACAGCAGCUCGGGAAAUAGUCUAAAACGCCCAGAUACCACAGAAUCACUUAAUUCUUCCUUGUCCAAUGGAACAAGUGAUGCUGACCUUUUUGAUUCACAUGAUGACAGAGAUGAUGAUGCGGAGGCAGGGUCUGUAGAGGAGCACAAGAGCGUUAUCAUGCAUCUCUUGUCACAGGUUAGACUUGGAAUGGAUCUUACUAAGGUAGUUCUUCCAACGUUUAUUCUUGAAAGAAGAUCUCUUUUAGAAAUGUAUGCAGACUUUUUUGCACAUCCGGACCUGUUUGUGAGCAUUAGUGACCAGAAGGAUCCCAAGGAUCGAAUGGUUCAGGUUGUGAAAUGGUACCUCUCAGCCUUCCAUGCGGGAAGGAAAGGAUCAGUUGCCAAAAAGCCAUACAAUCCCAUUUUGGGCGAGAUUUUUCAGUGUCAUUGGACAUUACCAAAUGAUACUGAAGAGAACACAGAACUAGUUUCAGAAGGACCAGUUCCCUGGGUUUCCAAAAACAGUGUAACAUUUGUGGCUGAGCAGGUUUCCCAUCAUCCACCCAUUUCAGCCUUUUAUGCUGAGUGUUUUAACAAGAAGAUACAAUUCAAUGCUCAUAUCUGGACCAAAUCAAAAUUCCUUGGGAUGUCAAUUGGGGUGCACAACAUAGGGCAGGGCUGUGUCUCAUGUCUAGACUAUGAUGAACAUUAUAUUCUCACAUUCCCCAAUGGCUAUGGAAGGUCUAUCCUCACAGUGCCCUGGGUGGAAUUAGGAGGAGAAUGCAAUAUUAAUUGUUCCAAAACAGGCUAUAGUGCAAAUAUCAUCUUCCACACUAAACCCUUUUAUGGGGGCAAGAAGCACAGAAUUACUGCCGAGAUUUUUUCUCCAAAUGACAAGAAGUCUUUUUGCUCAAUUGAAGGGGAAUGGAAUGGUGUGAUGUAUGCAAAAUAUGCAACAGGGGAAAAUACAGUCUUUGUAGAUACCAAGAAGUUGCCUAUAAUCAAGAAGAAAGUGAGGAAGUUGGAAGAUCAGAACGAGUAUGAAUCCCGCAGCCUUUGGAAGGAUGUCACUUUCAACUUAAAAAUCAGAGACAUUGAUGCAGCAACUGAAGCAAAGCACAGGCUUGAAGAAAGACAAAGAGCAGAAGCCCGAGAAAGGAAGGAGAAGGAAAUUCAGUGGGAGACAAGGUUAUUUCAUGAAGAUGGAGAAUGCUGGGUUUAUGAUGAACCAUUACUGAAACGUCUUGGUGCUGCCAAGCAUUAGGUUGGAAGAUGCAAAGUUUAUACCUGAUGAUCAGGGCAGUAGGCAUAAUUCAGCAACAAACAAUCUUCCUUUGGGAGAAACCUGUUCAUUCCCUUCUAAUUACAGUGGUUCCUAUCUCAGGGAUACUGGACUUUCUGACGCAGAUCAACAAUUAAGGGGAAAAGCUUCCCUUUUCCCUCUGUGGCAGUUACGAUUUUGACUUCAGUCCUGAGAAAAACUUCAGGUUUUGAAAAUCAGAUGAUGUCUUCUCCUUUUCCAAACACCACACGUUGAAAGCAUUUAUAAAUCCAAGUCUGAAACUCUGUGCUCUAGUACUGCUAUUAAGAUACACAACUUGUUUCUUAGUUCAUAUAAUCUCGGGAUACAUACACACACACACACACACACAUAUACGCGCACACACACAUAUAUAUACACACACAUACAUAUAUAUAAAUAUACCUGAUGCCAGAUUUUUUUCAUAAAUAUUCUGCCUACUGUAAAUAUGGGUUCCUCUGAGUUGUUUUAGAAAAUUAGCGCAAUGUAUUAAAAUCAAGUGUUAGGAAAUUUCAUGGUCUUACCUACAAUAACUUUUAUUUUGGAAUUGAACUAUUAUUAAAUUGUAUCUAAUCCUGGAUUACAGUUUAAUUAAUUAUCCUUAGUGCUUAAGGCUUCAUAAAGUAAUUUUUCCAACCUUUUUUUAAAAAA
rnacentral:sRNA from 1 species